rnacentral:rRNA from 1 species
UGGCUCAGAUUGAACGCUGGCGGCAUGCUUUACACAUGCAAGUCGAACGGUAACAGGGAGCUUGCUCCGCUGACGAGUGGCGAACGGGUGAGUAAUAUAUCGGAACGUACCCAAGAGUGGGGGAUAACGUAGCGAAAGUUACGCUAAUACCGCAUACGAUCUAUGGAUGAAAGCAGGGGACCUUCGGGCCUUGUGCUCCUGGAGCGGCCGAUAUCUGAUUAGCUAGUUGGUGAGGUAAAGGCUCACCAAGGCGACGAUCAGUAGCUGGUCUGAGAGGACGACCAGCCACACUGGAACUGAGACACGGUCCAGACUCCUACGGGAGGCAGCAGUGGGGAAUUUUGGACAAUGGGCGCAAGCCUGAUCCAGCAAUGCCGCGUGAGUGAAGAAGGCCUUCGGGUUGUAAAGCUCUUUUGUCAGGGAAGAAACGGCUGUGGCUAAUAUCCACGGCUAAUGACGGUACCUGAAGAAUAAGCACCGGCUAACUACGUGCCAGCAGCCGCGGUAAUACGUAGGGUGCAAGCGUUAAUCGGAAUUACUGGGCGUAAAGCGUGCGCAGGCGGUUUUGUAAGUCUGUCGUGAAAUCCCCGGGCUCAACCUGGGAAUUGCGAUGGAGACUGCAAGCUAGAAUCUGGCAGAGGGGGGGUAGAAUUCCACGUGUAGCAGUGAAAUGCGUAGAGAUGUGGAGGAACACCGAUGGCGNAAGCAGCCCCNNGGNNNAGAUUGACGCUCAUGCACGAAAGCGUGGGAGCAAACAGGAUUAGAUACCCUGGUAGUCCACGCCCUAAACGAUGUCUACUAGUUGUCGGGUUUUAAUUGACUUGGUAACGCAGCUAACGCGUGAAGUAGACCGCCUGGGGGAGUACGGUCGCAAGAUUAAAACUCAAAGGAAUUGACGGGGACCCGCACAAGCGGUGGAUGAUGUGGAUUAAUUCGAUGCAACGCGAAAAACCUUACCUACCCUUGACAUGUCAGGAAGACCGGAGAGAUUUGGUUGUGCCCGAAAGGGAACCUGAACACAGGUGCUGCAUGGCUGUCGUCAGCUCGUGUCGUGAGAUGUUGGGUUAAGUCCCGCAACGAGCGCAACCCUUGUCAUUAGUUGCUACGCAAGAGCACUCUAAUGAGACUGCCGGUGACAAACCGGAGGAAGGUGGGGAUGACGUCAAGUCCUCAUGGCCCUUAUGGGUAGGGCUUCACACGUCAUACAAUGGUACAUACAGAGGGCCGCCAACCCGCGAGGGGGAGCUAAUCCCAGAAAGUGUAUCGUAGUCCGGAUCGUAGUCUGCAACUCGACUACGUGAAGUUGGAAUCGCUAGUAAUCGCGGAUCAGCAUGCCGCGGUGAAUACGUUCCCGGGUCUUGUACACACCGCCCGUCACACCAUGGGAGCGGGUUUUACCAGAAGUAGGUAGCUUAACCGCAAAGGAGGGCGCUUACCACGGUAG